GUUACGGCAAUACAACAGAAUGAAGUUAAAGACAUAACUCCGCAAGAUCUGCGAAUAAUUGAUUACAUUGGUGGUUUCAUUAUUCGAACAUACAUUGGGAAUAAAUAUGUACAUCCGUUGUUGGACUAUUUUAGAAGAAAUGAACGUACUGGUAUGGUAGAACAGAGAAAUUGGAUUGAUAACAGCAAUGGUGGGCUUUGCAGUAUUUCUGAUAACUUGUUAAAGGCUUUGGUACAUGCAGAGAAAGAAUUUAGAUUGGUAAAUUGUUGCCACAGUACACAAAUCAAAACUGAACAAAUUGUCAUUAACACAAUGAAACAGUACGCCCUGACAAGUAUUGUUUCAAACAUUUCCUUUCAUAGUAACUAUGACAAUACUCAAGUUUUUUCAGCUAUGGAAUUGAUAGUUUCAAAAUAUGUAAAAAUUCGAGCAUUCAGCCAUACCAAACAGUUGAAAAACAUGUAUGACUCAAAGAUCUGUCGUCAGUCUAAAGGCACCCGGAAGACUUUAAAACGGUCCUAAAAAAAAUUGCAAUUGAAACCAAAUUUCUGCGACACCCGAAACAGUUUAUUAUGUGGCUACUAAAGAUAUUGCAUUUGAAACUAAAUUUCGGCAACACCCGAAACUUUAUUUUGUGGCUUUUAUGUUUAAAACUAUUUUAUGAAUAAUGAUACAACUUGUUUCAG